ensembl:lncRNA
UGCUCUUACAGUUAAGAGGGCUGAAUGGCAGACCUUGUUAAAUAAUAUUUUAUGUUUCUUCCUCAUAAUGUGUUAUAUUUUAUAAAUAUAUUCUUAUAUAUCUUAUAUUACUUUUUGCCUUUUCUUAUACGUUGAAAUGGGAGAAGAGGGGAUCAAUGCUGGUGCGAAGGUGAUCCUGCACAAGGACAUGCCUUUGUAACUAGUGUUAGAGGACCUGUAGACUGAACAAAUACUAAGGACAUUACAAUCUAGUAAUUCUUACCCCUUCUGCUGGACUGAAUUUGACCUGGAUGUUGAUGCUGUCACCAGGAUACAGUAGACCACUGGAUGGCAACAUCUCAAAGCUUUAUCGGAGUGGAGCCGGAGCCACAGCUCACAGCUGGACACCAACUCAAGAUGAGGACCCGCUCGAGAUGCACAUGGUGCUGCUGGAACUGGAAGAUGUGGAGAAACGGAUCCGUGAGCUACUCGACAAGCAGGCCCAGCUGCUUGAGCGAAGAACCGCGCUAGAAACAUCUUGUGCUUCUGCCUACGUAUCCAAGGUAAGCAUGCAUCGUGGUAUUACCACUCCCAGCCCCUCUACACCGUGUGUUUCUCUGUGUAGGGACUGUGCACCCAAGACUUUUCCAGCCGAGGUCUCCGUCACACCGGCGCCGACACACCACGGACCUUGG